CGAGGCGACCAGUGUCGGGCGGCGUGUCGUGCGUGUUUGUGUGCGUGCGUUUCACUCUCUCUCACGGGAGAGUGGCGCGCGUGCGCUCGCUCGCGUUCGUCGUCGACAGGCACGCGCUUCGAGCCCUGGAUCGUACACUCCAAGUCCACCGCUUAUGAUUGAAACUCUUCUUAGAGGGAUUCACGGCUCUGAAGCCGUAAGAGACUGAGAGCAAUAACAGGUCUGUGAUGCCCUUAGAUGUUCUGGGCCGCACGCGCGCUACAAUGCCGGGCACAGCAGGUUCUUUUCCUACUCCGAGAGGAGCGGGUAACCCUGUGAAAGCCCCUCUUGUUUGACAGUUUGAAUGUCGAUGCAUUCCCCUCUUCGGAGGGUGUGCAUCGGCUAAGGCGUGAUUGG
rnacentral:rRNA from 1 species